UCGAUUAGAGUUUGAUCAUGGCUCAGGCCUGAUCGCUGGCGGCGUGCCUAACACAUGCAAGUCGAACGGACACAUCCCGUCGAUGCGAUUUCGGUCAAGUCAAGGGAUGUUUUAGUGGCGGACGGGUGAGUAACGCGUGGGCAACCUGCCUUACACCGGGGGAUAACACUUAGAAAUAGGUGCUAAUACCGCAUAACAGGAGAACAUGCAUGUGUUUUCCUUGAAAACCACGGUGGUGUAAGAUGGACCCGCGUCUGAUUAGCUUGUUGGCAGGGUAACGGCCUACCAAGGCGACGAUCAGUAGCCGGCCUGAGAGGGUGGACGGCCACAUUGGGACUGAGACACGGCCCAGACUCCUACGGGAGGCAGCAGUGGGGAAUAUUGCACAAUGGGGGAAACCCUGAUGCAGCGACGCCGCGUGAGUGAAGAAGUAUUUCGGUAUGUAAAGCUCUGUCAGCAGGGAAGAAAAUGACGGUACCUGACCAAGAAGCCCCGGCUAACUACGUGCCAGCAGCCGCGGUAAUACGUAGGGGGCAAGCGUUAUCCGGAUUUACUGGGUGUAAAGGGAGCGCAGACGGCAGUGCAAGUCCGGAGUGAAAGCCCGGGGCCCAACCCCGGGACUGCUCUGGAAACUGUACGGCUGGAGUGCCGGAGAGGUAAGCGGAAUUCCUAGUGUAGCGGUGAAAUGCGUAGAUAUUAGGAGGAACACCAGUGGCGAAGGCGGCUUACUGGACGGUAACUGACGUUGAG
rnacentral:rRNA from 1 species